UCUGUCGAUGGAGAGAAAAAAACAGAGUGGAGGAUGGCAGCAUAUUCGCACUCCAACAGAGUGGCAGUUAUGGCCACAAACGACGACGCUUCGGUCAGUACUAAUCUUCGCUUCCAUAUUAUUAGUUUCGUUUUAUUUUCGUACGCUCCAUCAGUUCCUAUUCUCCUCAUGGGUAGCCUAAGAUUUUCUCCUGUUCCUCUGUUUGGAUGCCUAGAGAAAAAAUUGCACCGGAAGAAAAUUAGGAGGAGAUUCCCUCUGGCUUAGUCUGCUUUGGGAAAUCUAUCGUGCGUUUGUUAUUUUCAGUUACUGUCUUGGAUUGGAUUGAAGUACUGACGCAAUGUUAAUUUAACCUGUCAUUCUGCUUUAUUUAUGCCUUUCAUUAGUAUGUGUUCAUCAAUGAUGAAUAUUUGUUCGUAUUCUUUAUACAUACAUUGUCCUGCGGAACUGUGAAUUUCUAGACGGAGGUUGGUUUCCUGGAAAAUGAAAUUAGAAGAGUCUAUGUUUUGGAAUGAUCUAUCAUUUUGUGCUAGUUUCCGUUUUGGUUGCUUAGGAAUUUAUAAUGUGGAGGUUACUUUGCUCGUUGGGCUGCGUUUUGGAAGCUUCUUUUUAAGUUUCUCAAGAGUGAAGUCAAUUCUGAUGAAAGCAGCUGCACAAAGAAGCAGAUAUUGUCACUUGGAGCCAGCCUCGAUACAACAUAUUCCCAGUUGCAGAGAGCCUUGCACAUGCCCUGGCCGCCUUUCUGGAAGGCAAAUUCCUGUUUCAGGUCUUUGGGAAUUCUUUUGCCUGAUUUGGGUUGUGGAAAGAUCCUAUCGUAAAAUCAUCUUUCCCUUUGAAGAUUCUGGGAUUCUAAGGUGUCUUCCAGUCUGAUGUAAAGGGAAGUUCUUGCAUUGUUUGGUUGUGUAUCUUUUCCUUCCUUUUCAUCUACUUUAUCUUUUAUACUUAAUCCUUUUUCUCAAGAUUAUUUGAAAGAUUCUUCUUGUUGAUGUUACCCUAACUAGGAUUGAACGGCUGGAAUUGUUCAAUAAAUAUGAAGAGUGGCACAUGAUACAGGUAAGUCAAGACUUCAUGCGCUUAUUGUAAAAGUGCUGGCUAUUUGAAUACUUGGUAGUCGUUACUAGCAUCUGUGGGCCUGGACCAAAUAAAACUAACUUUUGUGUGUGUGAAAUAGAGUGCGGGCUAACUGUAAGGCCAGCACAGCCCUGAGUGGGUCUUCUCCUGACUAAAGGUCCACUUGUCGAGCAGUGGACUCCCUUUGCAGGUGGACAAUAGUGGCUGCAUAACACAUGCAUGCUUCUGUUUCAAAUCCUGAAUUAAUGCUUAGCUUUUGGUGAUCAUGAAUUCAGUUUGUUUCUCUAGUAAUAUGUUUAUAAUUUCUCAAACUUUCUGUGCCAAUCGAUGUUUUUUAGGAGCACUACUGUGUGGCUUAUGCAAUCAAUGACAUGAUGGUAUGUGCAUUCACGAGCCCUUAAUGCCAGUUCAGCUUUUUUUCUCUUAUCUGCCUUAUUGUUGCUUACUUCUAGUCCUCUCCUCUUUUUUUUUGUCAUUGUGGGCUUUAGAAGUUCUUCCAUCAUUCUUAGAAAGAAUAAUACGACCAAAUAGGUGAAAUUGUUGAGAUUUUUCUUUUUAUUUGUCCAUUUUCUGACCACGAGCUGUAUAAGAUAUACAUAGAAGGUCCACUUGACAUGGAUAAGGUUUGAAUACUGAUGCCAGGUUUAUAUGACUCGGGGGUUGUUAGGAAAUUCUGGGUUCCCUACUAACCAGCAGGACAAGCUGAGCACUCCUGCAGGAGCAUCUCCAUGACAACACAAGGCUAAACCAUUGCGUCGCAGUUGCCUGUAUUUGGUUGAACAAUUGCCAGUAGCUGAAGAGCACGUGACUGACACGUGCCAUUACAUGUUCUGGUUUGUCAGGUAAGAAGUUGUUUCGGAUGCUAGUGCUUAUGUAGAGUCUUAGUUAAAAGUCCUCACAGGCAUUGAUGGCAUACGUGGAUGCAUUGCCAACUGCAUUAUAUUGUUAUUAUUAUGAUUAUUAUUAUGGUUGUGGUUGUGGUUGUGGUUGUGGUUAUCUUUGUGAGAUGCCAUUGCCUAGCUGUUAGGCAAAGAAACUUAUGGGAUCCACACCACACCCAAAUUGUGUCAAUUCUAUUACCUGGUGGGGUCUGGUUCAUGAGGGUAGCUAUUGCCUCAUGCAUAAUUUUGUUGCUCUUUUUAAAUUAGCUCCUUGAUUUUGUUCCUUUCAUUCUUGUCUUUAUCCUCUUUCUUGUCCUUUUUUCCUCGUGAGAGAUCUGUUAUUCUCUGGAUGACCAAUACCUGAACCUCCACCGGAGUGGUAAAUAUUGCAAAAUCAAUGUGAUUUGUUAAAAUCAUCACCACCCCAAGAUUGGAAACCUCAUUCUUUAUGUGGUGACUUUCAUCCAACAACAAUAGGAAAGGAAGAUGUUGAAGAAAUUCAAGUAGAUGUGCAUUACAGUAUGAUACCAGACCUGGGGUUUGUGCAUUACAGUAUGAUACCAGACUUGGGGUAUGUGGGAGGCUAUAUUAGGUCAGUCUGACAUUGUUUUACAAUCUUGCUAGUGAUUUAUUUCGAAAUAGUUUGUCAUAAAUGUUGUUCUAAGGUAUUGUUGUUGUGUUUGGCCUUCUUCAUCAAUCAUCACUGAUCUCUAA